CCUUCAUAGACCGAAGGGGACAGCCAACUAUUCGGGGGUGUGAGCGGAUCAUUACAGUUAUUGUAACAGUCAUAACUCAAGUUAACGCAAUUAGCGAAGGGGUUGUUCUUAGGGCGGCCUAGGGGUGCGAUUGGUGGGCCUGUGCCAUUUGGUGGGGGUUGGUGGUCGAUACGCACCACUGGUGUAGUCAGUCAGUCGAGGGAGCCCGCUCCGAUGGCAACAGCUCGUCGUCCUUCCCCUGCCCCGAUAGGUGGGGCCUCGAGGUGAAUACAUGGGAGCGGAUCAAUACAUUAGGGGUUGGUGGAAACGCCAUUUCGUCGGAGCCACCCCAUCAUCAUCAUGGCCUCCGGUCGCUCCGCCCUCCUUACACGCAGAGCCACGCACACCGACCCGAUUCGCCGGCCGGGGAGGCGACUGCAAGACGAGUGCAUGCACCUGUCAUCCGGCUUUCUACAAACGCGUCUCUUCUUUUGUGAUUUAUGCUAAAUUGUUGUUGUUCCCCUAUGUAAAUACAUUUACGAGAUGCUGUAUAUAGUCACAACUUAUACAAAUGUUAAUAUUGUAAGUAAUUGAUUUUUUUAAUACAUUAAAGCUUGAGAUUAUAUUAAGAAAAAUUAACAUGGAUAAUUUAAAAAAAAAAGGUCUAAACGUACAAAAAGUAAUUUUAAAGAAAAGAAUCUAGCCUUUAAAGAAAAAUCGCUUUACAUAUGCGAUUUCAACAAAAAUCACAAUGUCUUCCAAAUAUAUAUAAAAAGGCGAUAUUAGAGAUCAUAGAUUAAAAAAAACAUCCCUUUGUGUGUACAUUAAAAAAUAAUGCGCCGUGUUACAUUUUAUUGGAGCUUUCUGAUUUAAGUAUAAUGGUUUACCAAAUAACAAUAAAUGUAUAGCUUUUACUUGUACUUUUCACUUUUGUGUUUUUUAAUUUACGAUUUUUGAAGAUUUUCUUUUAUUCUAAGGGUGACUGGGCGAGCGAAAGAAUCGUUAAAAAACAAUCAAUGAAUAUUCUCGGACAAACAUAUCAUAUAUGAGGCCUCAACGCCGAAAUCAAUCAAAACCCGAGGAGGGGGUUGAAAAAUUUCAAAACGGGAUUAUUUGUCUUGUGUAUGUCGGGUUUUGAGGCCCCGAACUUAGUAAGUACUUGCUGUAAGAGAAACGUGAAUGUUAUUUUCCUUUGGUUGAUUUCCUUGUGAGGGCGAGCACCUGUUGUGAGCCCCAUCAGUUGUGAAUGACAAUAAAAUGUAGUCAGUCGAUAAUACACGGUUUCCAACCUGU